rnacentral:rRNA from 1 species
GACGAACGCUGGCGGCGUGCUAAACACAUGCAAGUAGAACGAAGUGGCGAACGGGUGAGUAAUACGUGGGUAACCUGCCCUCCUUUUUGGGAUAAGCCUUGGAAACGGGGUCUAAUACCGAAUACAGGGGGAUGGGGUGGCGGCAUAUCGGCUGGUUGGUGGGGUGAAGGCCUACCAAGGCGGGGCCGGGUAGCCGGCCUAUGAGGGUGACCGGCAACAUCGGGACGAAGAUACGGCUCGGAGUCCUACUAGAGGCGGCAGUGGCGGAUAUUGCACAAUGGGCGAAAGCCUGAUUCACGGCCGCCGCGGGGGGCAUGAAGGCUUUCGGGUUGUAAACCUCUUUCGCUAUCGAACGGGUAGGUGGAGAAGAAGCGCCGGCUAACUACGUGCCAGCAGCCGCGGUAAUUC